rnacentral:rRNA from 1 species
UACGUAGGGUGCGAGCGUUGUCCGGAAUUAUUGGGCGUAAAGAGCUUGUAGGCGGUCUGUCGCGUCUGCUGUGAAAAUCCGGGGCUCAACCCCGGACUUGCAGUGGGUACGGGCAGACUAGAGUGUGGUAGGGGAGACUGGAAUUCCUGGUGUAGCGGUGAAUGCGCAGAUAUCAGGAGGAACACCGAUGGCGAAGGCAGGUCUCUGGGCCACUACUGACGCUGAGAAGCGAAAGCAUGGGGAGCGAACAGG